rfam:Xenopus laevis strain J chromosome 8L, whole genome shotgun sequence.
AAGCAUGGUGGAUAAUGCUAUUGCUCCUUCUGCAGCGGGGCAACAGUAUGUCCGAACAUGCUAGAGAAACUAAGGAGUUAUCAGGGCUGCCAGUUGUACAGUACAAGCUGAGUGGUAGUAUAUAACUCCUACACUA